rnacentral:rRNA from 1 species
CCAAUAGCGUAUAUUAAAGUUGCUGCAGUUAAAAGGCUCGUAGUUGAAUUUCGGGACUAAUAUGUCGGUCGUGCCUCGGUACGUACUGGUAUUUUUGGUUUCUCCCUUCUGACGAACCUGGAUGUCAUUAAUUUGGUGUCUUGGGAAAUCAGGACUGUUACUUUGAAAAAAUUAGAGGGUUUAAAGCAGGCUCACGCUGGAAUACAUUAGCAUGGAAUAAUGAAAUAGGACGUUUGAUUCUAUUUUGUUGGUUUCUAGGAUCGACGUAAUGAUUAAUAGGGAUAGUUGGGGGCAUUAGUAUUCAAUUGUCAGAGGUGAAAUUCUUGGAUUUAUUGAAGACUAACUACUGCGAAAGCAUUUGCCAAGGAUGUUUUCAUUAAUCAAGAACGAAAGUUAGGGGAUCGAAGACGAUCAGAUACCGUCGUAGUCUUAACCAUAAACUAUGCCGACUAGGGAUCGGAUGAUGUUGAUUUUUUAAUGACUCAUUCGGCGCCUUACG